rnacentral:rRNA from 1 species
CGAACGCUGGCGGCGUGCUUAACACAUGCAAGUCGAACGGAAAGGCCCUGCUUUUGUGGGGUGCUCGAGUGGCGAACGGGUGAGUAACACGUGAGUAACCUGCCCUUGACUUUGGGAUAACUUCAGGAAACUGGGGCUAAUACCGGAUAGGAGCUGCUGCUGCAUGGUGGGGGUUGGAAAGUUUCGGCGGUUGGGGAUGGACUCGCGGCUUAUCAGCUUGUUGGUGGGGUAGUGGCUUACCAAGGCUUUGACGGGUAGCCGGCCUGAGAGGGUGACCGGCCACAUUGGGACUGAGAUACGGCCCAGACUCCUACGGGAGGCAGCAGUGGGGAGUAUUGCACAAUGGGCGGAAGCCUGAUGCAGCAACGCCGCGUGCGGGAUGACGGCCUUCGGGUUGUAAACCGCUUUCGCCUGUGACGAAGCGUGAGUGACGGUAAUGGGUAAAGAAGCACCGGCUAACUACGUG